UCGAGAUCGGGAGUUUCCUCUUGGAUGGCUUUGACUGCGCACCAGAGGACUCUCUCGCCGCCGCCGCCGUCGUUUGUGUAGGGAUGGAAGAAUCCCACCGCUCGUUUCCUGCUCUUUCUCGCGUUGAUGAGGGAGAGAGAUAAGGUCAGUGAUAACGCGAAGAGGAGAGUGAGGAAGGCGUAGAGGAUGAAGCAGAUCGCCAUGGAAGCGUGUAUCAGUGAGGAGGAACGAAAUGGUGAAGAAAGCGUUUUUGUUCAUCUUUGAUUAUCUUUCUGAAUAUUACAUAAAGGACCCGAGACUAUGGCUGAAUCAUAGUUAUCCCCCUUAACUUCCGGAAUUGAUUAUCACUAUUUUUUUUUUCUCUUUCAAAUUGUAAUAAACUAAGAAAUUGAUUUGGAAUUUCAGAUUCUAGCACUAAUUUUCUAUUUCGAAUUAUGAGAAUUAUUAUAAUUUUGUAAUCCAAUCAUUUCUUACAAUUUUCUUUACACUACAUAAACAUCCACACCACACCCGACGAUUUUGAUAGCACCAUUAUAGAUACUUUAUGUAAGUUUUGUUUUUUACAACAAAACUUAUUUUCUGGAAUUCAAAAUCAUGAUCUCCUGAUGUUUAAACGAUUUUUUCAAAAGGAAAAAAACCGAAUGAAUCAUGGCACAAAGUUGUGGUUUUUGUAGUUUUCGUUUUAAAGUUUAAAGAAAAACCAUUUAAGAAAAUGAAACUUAGGGUUAAAAAAUUAAAGUUCAAAAUUUAAUUCAAUAUAUCAUAUGUCAUAUAUCAUAACAACCAAGACUAUUUCGGUAAAAAAAAAAGAUCCAAGACUAAACCCUGUGAUUCAGCUUGAAUAGGUGUAGCUUUAUGGAGACAUUGUUCUUGUCAGCGAGCAUUGGAACCAUCUCAGGCAACUCUUCAAGAGUUUGACCUUUAAGAUAACUAUAAAACCAAACGACCAUAGUCUCUAAUGUCUUUGUGUUUUUAAACAUAAGUUCCAUGAACGAACCGACGUGCCUCGACUCUACAUUCCAAUGUGCCAGGUUCUCAAAGACCCUCGCUUCCAAGCUCCAGCGAUGAUCCUUUUUAACGCUUUGCCAAUCCAAGUACUUGUCAAUUAUAUUCUUCUGUACAAGAGAAAAGGUUUUCGAUUAUGCAUACCGAUAGUCAAUAUUUCAUGUUCUAAAAAACCAAAGUGAGAGGAUAUGCAUGGUUCUAGGACUACAUAUUUAGACUCGCUAAUAGUUAGAAUUGUCAAGGAAACUAAUAAAAUUAAAUAGGUUUAUGGAAAAAUAUUGCUAUGGUGUCAAACUUCAUUCUGUGUAGUGGUUAGCUACUUCAAUUCAGGUGAGUGUUGCAGCACUCUGACUAUACCAUGAAUUGGGGAGAUGAUUGUCUCAAUUGUCGAAUCUUUGACCUUGAAGCUUGGAAUGAGAACACAUAGGAGCUCGGCAAGAGUUAAUACCUAACAAGAAGCAUAGAUAGAUAGUUAGUGAAUACCGAUACACAAACAUAAAAAAAAGAGCUAAAUAACUAAAGCAUUGUAAGAAAAAAUCAUCAUUGAUCAAUGAUGACUUUGCCACAUAAUAUUUUACAAACAAUUAUUGGUGAUUUAAUGGAUAUCAAAGCAUACUGAAAACUAGUUUAUUGGCUUGCUAAUUAGACUGACGUGACAUCUAUAUUAUUAAAACUGAAAUAUACUUUAGAAGUAAUCCUUCUUUUAUGACUAAUAUUACAAGUUUUGCCACUGAGAAUAAUACAACUCCUUCAAAUGAUCAUUAAUAUCUAUUUUUUGUCAACAAUAUCCAAUUUAACAUCAGAAACUAAAAAGCCAUUUUAUAUACGUACCCAAUUUGAUAGACAGACCCAAAAUUUCCUUUAUCUGCAUUGAAGGUAUUUAAUUUAUUAAUAAUUGUCAUGUGAAAACCGAGUGCAUAAAAUUAUUGCAAUGUUCUAUUAAUGGAAAAUCACUAUCGCCAUCAGUAGUGCAUAUGCAAUCACACUAAAUGGAAUUGAAUGAAUCCAAACCAAACCGCAUUAUACAAACCAAACAAUCGUUUGGUUUUAUACAAAAGAUACACACAACCGUAAAUUAGCUCAACCAAAAAUGAUUUUGUUUAACAAAAUACUAAUUAACUAUAUUUUUUUAAUCAUUGAGGAUAUAUGAAAUCUUAAUCUGCUCACAAAAUAUUGCCAAAAAUCAACCAUUUUACCUCUAACUUAGCUAAACAACACGUUUUCAAAAAAAAAAAAAAAACUUAGCUUAACAACACUCUUCUUGGAUAUCACAGUAAACUGUAGAAGAGAAUAUAUAAAAUUACUAUAUAUUUCUGUUAUAAAAUCGUAUUGUUUAAAAACAUAUUCAGCAAAUAUUUUGAUUGGAAAGAGUAUAAAAUAUAAACAUUCAAUGAUAUAGAACAAUUUUUUUAAAUAUCAAAAUUAAUGAUAACUCCGAACGUGGGCUUCCUUGGAUUUCAAGAAAACAUACCGAAGUUCUCUCCGAAAGCAAGCUUAUCUACAUUCUGCAACUUCUCUAGCGUCCUUAGCACCAGGGCUUGAAGAAAUCAUCCUCCAGAUCUUCAAGUGCGCAAAAGCAAAUCUCCAUUCUAGCCUCUUUUAAAGAUGAGACAUCAACUAAAGUACAUGGUAACCGACAGUUUGUCAAUUUGAGACGAUGGAUAUGCGGUGCAAUAAUCUGCCUAGGCCGGGGAACCAAAUGUUACAAUCGAUUACUAAUGUUCUCAGACUCAGCGAUUUGCUGAGAUCAAGAACCAACAGUUUAUGCCAGAAGUGAAGGGUUAAGCUUUCAAGAACCGGAGAGCUUGCAAGACAUUAAGUACAUAAUCUUCAGAGAUGUCCAAGACACGGGAAAACUUGGAAGUUUGAAAUCAAUAAACGAUACUUAACACUGAGUUGCUUGAAAGAGUUACUGAUGUAAAAGGAAUCAGGAACAUGAAAAUUAUGGUCACCUUCAUAACCGAACUCCAACGACAUAUUCUCAACAUUUCGGGAUAUGGCGAACUCGAUCCAUCUGUCAAUGUAAGGAAUAUCGUCUCUCGUGCUGGCACUGAGCUUGAAACUCAUCAUCUUGCGAGCCUUGUAGCGAUCUAGUAUUUUGUUUAUAAUAUCACCUUUCGGGCCAUGUGGCCUAAUCCAGUCGAAGGAGAGGCAAGGUGUAUAUCGGACCAUACAUGUCUCCAUCUUUUGGACAAGAUGGAUGUUUUGAUGGCAAUUUCGGUCGGAAGAGAGGAGAGGAUACUUUGGAGGAUUACGUCAGGUAGAAAGCUGAUUGAGUCUACACUGUCGCUUGAAUCUCCUGCUUCUUUGGUUUUGUGGUCUUGGUGGCUAUAUCUUCUUGCGGCCGUUGCACCGUCUCCGUUUUCGCAUUCGUCCACCAUCCUAAGUUGUGCUUGGUGAACAAACCUACGGCUAGGGUAACACUUAAUUUAGUUUUGUAGAUAAACACAAGCUCAAUCUUAAAAGAAAUAUAUCAUUAUUUUUUUGACUGAAAAAAUAAUAAUAAUAAAUCAUUAUUUUAGAUUUUAUUUUGACAUAUUCUGAAUACUUUUAAUUUCUUGUAUGCAUAAAUAAUAAUAGUAUUUAUUUAAAAUUAAUAACCAUACUCAGAAAUUCAAAAUGGUUUAUUUUAUUUUAUUUCAACUUUCCAUUUUUUUGGGGUAGAAUUUAUUUAGUUCAUGAAUAUAUUCCUAAGAGAUUACUGAAGUGUUAUUAGUUGAUGAAGUUUAAUAAUUUUUUUAGCAAGAAAUAAUCUACUGCUAUUAAAUAUUUGAUUUUCAUUGUUGAUUAUAAACCUAGUGUUAUUGAUUUUUUGUAUUUAUGAUAUUUUUGUAAAAUAGUUUAAAAUCAAAUGUUAUUCAAUUAAAGAUUUGAAAUGAUCAACUAAAGAUUUUAUUCAAUUAAAAAUCAAAUGUUAUUCAAUUAAAGAUUUUGAAAUGUUUAGAAUUUCCGGCUCGAGGAAAUACAAUGUCUUGGCAAGGAAGAAGGGGCAAAGGGAAAGGAGCAGUGACGGUCAGAUGUCGUUUGGAUCGAGCUUUGGCAAAUGAGGAAUGGCAUACGCUUUUCCCAUGUUCUUAUACAGAGUAUCUAAAGAUGGUGGGAUCUGACCAUCGUCCAGUGGUGGCUUUCUUAGAGGAUAAAUUUAUAAGGAAAAGAAGGGGGCAAUUUAGAUUUGACAAAAGAUGGAUUGGCCAAGAGGGUCUUAUGGAAUCGAUUGUAACAGGCUGGACGGGGAGUCAGGAAGGACAACUAGGAGAUCUUGUUACCAAAAUUACUAAUUGUCGCCAUGAAAUAUCUACAUGGCGUAAAGAUAAUCAACCAUAUGGAAAAGAUAAAAUUCAGGAGCUUCAACAGGCACUUGAGGAAGUGCAAAUGGAUAAUAAUCGAUCACAAGAAGAGAUUAUUGAGGUUUCUAGGAAAUUGCAGGAGGCUUAUAAGGAUGAGGAGGAAUAUUGGCAUCAGAAAAGCACCAAUUGGAUCCUGAUUUUUUUUUUCUGUGGAUAUUAGCUGGUUCCUAAUUUUGCUAUCCAAACCUUCCUAACUUCGCUAUCCAAACCGAACCGCACUGAACCGAAAAAAUAGAAGUCGAACCGAAUUUCAUAAAUAACCGAGUGGAGCUAUCUUUGAAAUCCAAAUUAUCCGAUAUUUUUAUUUGAACAUCCAGAUUAUCCGAUAUUUAAACCGAGUGGAGCUAUCUUUUAAAUGAUCCGGAAUAACCAGAAUCCAAUUGGAUCCUGAUUUUUUUUUUCUGUGGAUAUUAGCUGGUUCCUAAUUUUGCUAUCCAAACCUUCCUAACUUCGCUAUCCAAACCGAACCGCACUGAACCGAAAAAAUAGAAGUCGAACCGAAUUUCAUAAAUAACCGAGUGGAGCUAUCUUUGAAAUCCAAAUUAUCCGAUAUUUUUAUUUGAACAUCCAGAUUAUCCGAUAUUUAAACCGAGUGGAGCUAUCUUUUAAAUGAUCCGGAAUAACCAGAAUCCAAUUGGAUCCUGAUUUUUUUUUUCUGUGGAUAUUAGCUGGUUCCUAAUUUUGCUAUCCAAACCUUCCUAACUUCGCUAUCCAAACCGAACCGCACUGAACCGAAAAAAUAGAAGUCGAACCGAAUUUCAUAAAUAACCGAGUGGAGCUAUCUUUGAAAUCCAAAUUAUCCGAUAUUUUUAUUUGAACAUCCAGAUUAUCCGAUAUUUAAACCGAGUGGAGCUAUCUUUUAAAUGAUCCGGAAUAACCAGAAUCCAAUUGGAUCCUGAUUUUUUUUUUCUGUGGAUAUUAGCUGGUUCCUAAUUUUGCUAUCCAAACCUUCCUAACUUCGCUAUCCAAACCGAACCGCACUGAACCGAAAAAAUAGAAGUCGAACCGAAUUUCAUAAAUAACCGAGUGGAGCUAUCUUUGAAAUCCAAAUUAUCCGAUAUUUUUAUUUGAACAUCCAGAUUAUCCGAUAUUUAAACCGAGUGGAGCUAUCUUUUAAAUGAUCCGGAAUAACCAGAAUCCAAUUGGAUCCUGAUUUUUUUUUUCUGUGGAUAUUAGCUGGUUCCUAAUUUUGCUAUCCAAACCUUCCUAACUUCGCUAUCCAAACCGAACCGCACUGAACCGAAAAAAUAGAAGUCGAACCGAAUUUCAUAAAUAACCGAGUGGAGCUAUCUUUGAAAUCCAAAUUAUCCGAUAUUUUUAUUUGAACAUCCAGAUUAUCCGAUAUUUAAACCGAAAAAUCCGAAUUAUCUGAAUAUUUUACUUAUAUUAUCCUAAAUGAUCCAGAGUAACCGGAAUCCAAUAGGAUCCUGAUAUUUUUUUUUAUGGAUAUUAGCCGUUUCCUAAUUUUGUUAUGCGAUUAGAAACCAAAAUAACCGAACCAAAUUGAAUAUUCUAAACAGCCUAACCGUUCCUAAUCCAACCGAAACCGAACCAAAUUGAAUAUUCUAAACAGCCUAACCGUUCCUAAUCGAAAUAGCCGAACCGAACCAAAUUGAAUGCCUAUGCCUAAGCUAUCUCUAGAGAGAGAAAUGACCUUGGGAGGAGAGAGAAGAUUGACACCGAAUCGAUCCACGGCGCGGCGAGCUAAGCUGUCGGAGGAAGAGUCGUGAUCUCCGGUGAAGACGAUACAGUCGAGAUCGGGAGUUUCCUCUUGGAUGGCUUUGACUGCGCACCAGAGGACUCUCUCGCCGCCGCCGCCGUCGUUUGUGUAGGGAUGGAAGAAUCCCACCGCUCGUUUCCUGCUCUUUCUCGCGUUGAUGAGGGAGAGAGAUAAGGUCAGUGAUAACGCGAAGAGGAGAGUGAGGAAGGCGUAGAGGAUGAAGCAGAUCGCCAUGGAAGCGUGUAUCAGUGAGGAGGAACGAAAUGGUGAAGAAAGCGUUUUUGUUCAUCUUUGAUUAUCUUUCUGAAUAUUACAUAAAGGACCCGAGACUAUGGCUGAAUCAUAGUUAUCCCCCUUAACUUCCGG
rnacentral:lncRNA from 1 species